CGAUGCCGAUCAGGCGAUCGCCGGUGGUUUCGCCCUCCGCAAGGAGGGAGUGACCGCGGGAGGAAAGUCCGAGCUCCACAGAGUGCGAUGCCGGGUAACGCCCGGUCGCGGAAACGCGAAGGAAAGUGCAACAGAGAAAGACCGCCCUUCUGAUACCUUUCGAGUUCGCGCGCUCGCGCGCGUCCUUCGAGUGAGGUCCGGAGGGUAAGGGUGAAACGGCGGGGUAAGAGCCCACCGCGUCUUCGGUAACGAAGGCGGCACGGCAGACCCCAUCGGGAGCAAGGCCACGUAGGCGGGCGAGCGAUGGCAACAUCGCAAAGGGCGACUCGCCCGAGCUCGCGGGUAGGCUGCUCGAGGCGUCCGGUAACGGCCGCCCUAGAGGAAUGACCGCCGCCGCGUGCGGGAUGACUCGCAAGCGGAACAGAACUCGGCUUACGAACGACGUCGACCU
rnacentral:RNase_P_RNA from 1 species